GCUCCCGAUUCGUCCUCUCUCUCGAUCUCGCAAGAAAAAUCGCCGGCGCCCCUCCCUGCCCCACGUCCACGUCCCCUCUCCCAGUUUCCCCACCUCUCGCUCCCGAUCCAUCCUCUCUCUCGAUCUCAUGAGAAAAAUCGCUGUCGCCGCCACUACACUCGUCUGCCGUCGUGGCCGACGUCGCCGAGGUGCUCGACGUGGCGAGGCGUAGGAACACGGUGGCCUGUGGGCAGGUGGCCGCCAGGGCCAGCGCCGCAGUAUUGGGCGCGUUAUGGGAAGAUCUUGGCGGCAAUGACCGCGUUCUUCCUGUUCGACAAUGAGACCUGCCGCUGCAUUGCCUCCUCGACGCCUCCCAAGCCCCUCGGUGCUCUCUCACGGUGACCUCAUGGCGUUUCUUAGAUCGUGAUGUGACCUGCACUAUUAUUGUUCAUACAAAUUAUUCCAACAACUUUUUGUUGAAACAUGAUAUUAGUUAUAUUGUUCUUCUAUGUCAUGACGCCAUGUGAUUUGUUGAUGGUCUGCACCAGUCCAAUACUGGGUUAUUUUUCAGAAUAAUCAAUGAUCGUCCGAUGUAAGUUAUUCAUAUGAAAUUAUGCGCUUUUCGUGACUACUAUAUCUACUGCAUAUGUAGACAUGAAAGAUUUAAAAAAAAUAUUAGACAUGAAAGAUUUCAAGGUUCUAUGUAUAGGAAAAACUAAUUUUCAUUCAAUUGGAACCAUAGAAUCCAUAGUUUGUUUGUUUCCUUUGAUGUUUCGGUACUUUGAUUUGACUGCUUCCAGUUAUAGAAAAUAUGGCAAGCUAUUUUCAGUUGUGAUAACAGAGUGUUCUACUUGUGAUUUUCCUACUGUAGCAAGAGUUGUGUGGAUUGAUAAUGGUUAAUACAUUGCUGGAUAAAUAUAACUUCUAGUGAAUUAGUAUAUGUAUACAUUCCAGUGUGCACAGCCGAGAGUAUUUAGAGUAAUAUGCAUGCAACAUCAUCUACAGAUAUUCAGUCAAUCACUACUCUGCACUAGAACCUCUUUAACAAUUAUGUGAGCGAACUUAAGUAGUAGUCAUUUUAUUGGACAAAUUAAUAUAGAAAUCAAUGGUUUUUGUGAAAUGGACACGUGCAUGCGAGGUGGGUUGGCCGAGAUCUGCGCCUCCGUUCUUGGCAGUGCUAGUGCACAUCGACGUAUCAGAGGGCAUGGUCUGAACCCGUGUUUGUUUAUCAGUUCAUACUUCAUUGUACUUAAACUGUGUCCUCUUGUAAUAUGAAGAUGUUUCUCUUUGUGGGCAAUUCCAUGUUUGUUGCAUAUUUCAGAAAAUACUUGGAGUACGCAUAGCUCCAUUUCUUCUAAGGGCAAUUCCAUAUUGGGUGUUGAUCUUCAAGGUAGCCACAACCUCCUCCUCUCUAUAAACUGAUUAAUGUUUUAAUAGAUUCUUAUUUGGUCAAUCAUUUCUCGUGAUGUUACAGAUGAAAAGAAAAUUACUUGCUGGAAUAAUUAAUAUCGUGGUAGUGGUCUUGCAAUCAAAACAAAUAUUUUCUUUUAGCAAGUAUAGGAUUGUCUUCUCCAUGAACAAAUGGGAGCAAAUGGUAAUUUUCUUUAGCACUAUUUUACUUAUUUUUUGGCAUGAAAGCUUCCGACAGAAGAUGGCGAGCACCAGCAUGCAUUUUUCCCUUGUGCGAAUUGCCAACAGAGAUGACCAACUGGUGUCUGGAGGUCAUUCUUGCUUGAUUUGGGCACCGAUGGUUUUCACAUCUUCACAUCGAAGCCAUCAACGAUGAUGAUCCAGUGAACUCACCUACAUCAGGUUGAGUUAAGUGCCUUUUCCCCUUGUGUGAGUUGUCAACAGAGAUGACCAGGACGUAUCAGGUGGUCAUCCUUGCUCGAUUUGGGCAACGGUGGUUUUUGCAUCUUCACAUAAAAUUCAUCGGCAAUGAUGAUCCAGUGAACUCAGCUACAUAGGUACGGGUUGAGUGUGGUACGUUCACCCCUGAUCUCAUGCUAUUUCAAUAUACUUUGUCUUGAAAAUUUUUUACCUUCACUAUACAAAGUACAUGGAUUUUUACCUGAAAUUUACAGUAGCACACCACAAAAAACACUGUUCAUCUAUCUAUUACUGCUGCACAUUACAAUAUGUAGUUUUACAUAUUCUGUAUAUUGGUGCUUGGCCUACUCAGUAGGCGAGUAGCAAAUACAUGAAUAUUGAUUCAAGAACUGUGGUUCAACUAUGAAAUUGAACUGUACCUUAGAUAUAUGAUUGAAGGAGUACAUGGCUAUUAAUUCAAAUGUACCUUAAGGGUAUUUGAUGGUUUUGGGUCAAGUUUAGUGUUCUCGGUAGAGUUUAUUUGAAAUAUUGCAGCGUGGUAAUCAGUUAAUUUCAUGUCAGUUUUAUCUUCUCUGACAAAUCACUGGUAUGCCUCUACUUCCAUGACUUGAUCUUUCCUUAGCAACAAGGCCUCGAUGGUGCAGGGAGAGAACUCCUCGACGGUGCCUCCAAGAAGGUGAGACGACAUCCACAGACACUAACAUCGUCAACAGGCAAGCUUUCGCCCGGAGCACCUCCCAAUACCACAACCCCAUGCAAAACACCUCCACUAGCCCGCACGCCUCCCACGAAGCCAACAUGCCAUGACCACACAGAAGCCACCACAAACCUCAACGCCGGCCAGAAGAACCAGCGAGCCGAAGCCCGCGACACCUGCCAUCUCCAGACGCCCCCCAGGGCCGGAUCUGGCUGGGGGCGACAGGCCCACCACCACCAGGGAGCACGACAAUAGAGGCCGGCCACCGGAGCUAACCAACCCCUGCGGCGAGCCGGAGCCUCGACACCACAAGGGCCCAAGCCCCACGCACCGAGCCGCGCCAGGUCUAGGCCGAACCCAGGGCCGCCACCGCCGAGAUCAGAGCACACCCCCUAUCCGCAUCAGCCACUCCAUACUGCCGCAUGCAGCCGACGCCCGGCCGCCAGCUGUCGUCGCCGCACCGCCGCGCUGCCGCCCAACCCAGAUGACUCGCGCCAUCCAACAUCGGGCGAGGGAAGGAGGAGGCCCGUUGCAGCCUGAACUGAUCGGGCUUUGCCCGCCAGCACGCGGGGGCGGCUGCGAGGGGAGGGAGGCGCAGGGAGGAAGGAGGAGCUGGGCUUGGGUUUCCCCCCGGCGCAGGAGGGGGAGGGGGAGCCACACAAAUUAACUCUGAACACCACCAAGCUCUCAUCUGAUUUUAAAGGAGAGGGAGAAAUAUCCGGCUACGGCGUGCAACCGAGCAAAAGGGGGAGGGCCCGACAGGAAAAGAAAAGGGUGUGUCGUAGGAUGGAUUUUGUUUUGGCACCUCGUGUUGAAGAUAAUUUGGUGGAUAGUCGAGAGAACUACAUUUCUCCCCCACAUAUGGGAUGGAUUUGGGGGAGCUUGGACUAUGAAGGCGCUUGAUUAUUGUGGAGCCUGCUGGGCGACCUUUUGAUAUUUGUACAUGCCCGAAUGUAUGAAGAUGACAUGAGCUUCGAACUUUGAGACAUUUUAUAUCAUUUGUUUGAUUCAUUUAUAUGCAUUGUAGCCUGUAGCAAAACACGGACAGCAGCGAGGAGUUCGUCGACUCUAGCGUCAUGGAGGUUGGUAGGUUGCUUGUGCUAUUAUAAAAUGAUAGAACCUCUAAGUAAUUUGGUUUCUGGUUAGUUCGCUUCGGCGAAUUCCAGUGAUUGCUUGUUGUAUCUGUUUUCACAGUGGAGCUCACAUGUGUGCCAUAUGGUUUUGUGAUAAGAAUACGGCACGGAAGAAACCUUAGAUGUGUCCAGAAUAACCGGGUUUUUCCUUCUACUUUUGAACCGCAUUGCAUUACUGGGACUUUCUAGCCAAUGCCAACAAUUUAUAAUGUGGUAAAGGAGAUGACCGAAAUGAUGGGAUAUACGGUACGUUUGGUCCGGAUAACAGAAAUGGUGCAUGAUGCUUACUACUCUAGAUUGUAUCUUUCAAAGAUUGGAAAUGAAGAAGAGGUUAUUAGUUUUGAUCUCAAGCCAUGGGAUGCCAUCAACAUUGCUUUCCGGUGCAAGGUUCAAAAGGUUAUCUCUACAAGGACCGGAUUUUCCUUUUGUAUUUCUAGGUGCCAUGGUGAUUGGUGGUAGACGACGACGAAUGGACAAGAGAUAACAUUUGCUCUUUUCUGUCAUACAUUACGAAGCAUAGACCGGGACCUGAUGACGGUACUCCGGAGGCAAUGAGCUAGAACUGGGCUCACGUGCCAGCAUAGUUUGAGAAACUUGGCAAGACUUCAAGUGCAUCGUGUUAAAGAUUGUUGUCGUCCUGCUCUUCUACACUACCCACAAGAGACAAUAGAUGACCAUGUUCUCAAUUUCAAGCGGGAGCUAAUGUAGAGGAGCAGCAAAAGCAUGUCACACAUGCUCUAAUGUGGUUGUAUGAGGCGUGUACGCCAGCAAUGAUAUCUAUGUCAAGAAGACCGACAACUUGUAUCCAAUGCUUGUUGGAAAUAUGCCCUAGAGGCAAUAAUAAAUUAGUUAUUAUUAUA